GACGAACGCUGGCGGCGUGGAUUAGGCAUGCAAGUCGAACGGUAUCAUCCUUUCGGGGGUGAGAGAGUGGCGAACUGGUGAGUAACACGUAGGUUAUCUACCCUCAAGACGGGGACAACCCAGGGAAACUUGGGCUAAUACCGGAUGUGAGCAACUUUUAGUUGUUUGAAAGGUGGCGUAAGCUGUCGCCUGGGGAUGAGCCUGCGUCCUAUUAGUUAGUUGGUGAGGUAACGGCUCACCUAGGCAAUGAUAGGUAGGCGGCCUUAACGGGUGGUCGCCCACACUGGGAUUGAGAUACGGCCCAGACUCCUACGGGAGCAGCAGUCGAGAAUAGUCUACAAUGGUCGGAAGACUGAUAGUGCGACGCCGCGUGAACGAUGAAUCCCUUCGGGGUGUAAAGUUCUUUUAUAUGUGAGCAGUGCUUCUUAUAUUAACAGUAUGGGGAGAGAGAUAUUAGCAUAUGAAUAAGCAACGGCUAAACUCCGUGCCAGCAGCCGACGGU
rnacentral:rRNA from 1 species